GACGAACGCUGGCGGCGUGCUUAACACAUGCAAGUCGAACGGAAAGGCCCUGCUUUUGUGGGGUGCUCGAGUGGCGAAAGGGUGAGUAACGAGUGAGUAACCUGCCCUUGACUUUGGGAUAACUUCAGGAAACUGGGGCUAAUACCGGAUAGGAGCUCCUGCUGCAUGGUGGGGGUUGGAAAGUUUCGGCGGUUGGGGAUGGACUCGCGGCUUAUCAGCUUGUUGGUGGGGUAGUGGCUUACCAAGGCUUUGACGGGUAGCCGGCCUGAGAGGGUGACCGGCCACAUUGGGACUGAGAUACGGCCCAGACUCCUACGGGAGGCAGCAGUGGGGAAUAUUGCACAAUGGGCGGAAGCCUGAUGCAGCAACGCCGCGUGCGGGAUGACGGCCUUCGGGUUGUAAACCGCUUUCGCCUGUGACGAAGCGUGAGUGACGGUAAUGGGUAAAGAAGCACCGGCUAACUACGUG
rnacentral:rRNA from 1 species